CAUAUCUAAAUUUCACAUAUAAUUCUCAUUUUUCCCCCAACUCCAAUCGAUCGACUCACUGCCAAUUCCAACCUCCCAAUUCGAAGUAUGCCACUAUGCGUCAUGUCUCGUUUUAUAUUUAUAUCCAAGCCUUUGGGUUCGGUCACUCGACGCGUCAUCUCCGGUCACGACCGCAAGCGGGUCGGCGAUCCCCGGCCGCGAGACCCCCACCCGGAACCACAGUUUCGUGUUCGUGAUCGGAGACAUACUCGAUCUACAGCCGGUGGUUGCAGUGGCGUUGGAUGGGCCGCCUUAUCGGGUCAUGAGUGGCGAUCGUAAUGCCCCGGUAGAUUCAACCUCGCAGAAGAAGAAGAAGAAGGGAAGAGGAGGAGGAACGAUGGAUGGUUGACAACACUGCUUGCAGGCGUGCGUUGCGAUCGUUUAUAUUUAGGUUGAAAGCGAAGCACAAAUCGAUUGGAGUUGGGUAUUGUUGUUCGUCGAUCACCAGUUUUGUCGCUGCAGCUCCAGUGUUUGCUUUCUUCCACUUGGGCACCUUUUCCGUGGACGGUCUAAAAUUUUGUCCACCACCUAUUUGAUGCAAUGCUCCUCACUUUCUCUCUCCGUCUCACUUCCCAUUCAAUGCAGUUCCUGAGCAGACCCACCCACCUCCCCCCAAAAAGGCUAACCCUUCCUUCCCCCUUCCCUCCCCUUCCCUCUCCUCUCCUCUCCACAAUGCCACUGCCGCUCCUCUCCGCCGCAACAUGUCCACUCACGCCUCCCCCGGCGGCGCCGCCUCCUCCUCCUCGUCCUCUUCCCUCUUCACGACCCUCAGUUUCUCCUUCGCUAUUGCCGUCUCCCUCGGCCUCCUCUCCGCUCUUCUCGUCGUCUCCUACAUCUGCUGCCGCCGACGACCCCAGAACCCCGGUUCCGCCCCGGGCCCGAUCCCCGCCGAAGGCGUCCUCCAGCGACACAUCAUCUUCGUCGCCGAGGACGACGACGGCGAGGACAGCGAGGGCGGCGGCCGGGCAUCGGGGCUCGAUCAGGCGGCCAUCAGCUCGUACCCUAAGUUCCCGUUCUCGGCGGCCAAGGGUGGGGAUACCGUCUGCUCGAUCUGCCUUUGCGAGUACCGGGAGGGGGAGAUGCUCCGGAUGAUGCCCGACUGCCACCACUACUUCCACCUCCUCUGCAUCGAUGUCUGGCUCCGGCUCAACGCGUCCUGCCCGGUCUGCCGGACGUCGCCAUUGCCCACGCCGGUGUCUACUCCAAUCUCAACACCAUUGUCAGAGCUCGUCCCGCUCUCCCAUUUCGCAGCUGACCGCAGGAGGAGGAGCUAAAGCUUUUGCAAAAUAAUCAGCAGAGGACAUAUCUAAGAAAGGUCAGUUUGCUCAAAGUUGGUGAAAGUUUAUCCUUCAAAACAUCAAGAUGCCUGGCUAUUUUCCAGUGGGCCUAUGCUGCUUAAAUUGUAUCUGAUGGUAUAUGUGAAAUCCAGUAUGGGCUUUGUUGAACAUCCCAGUGGAAAUAUGAUUCAGAAACAUAUGAGCAGCCUAAGAUGGGCGUUUUAUAGGAGAUGUUUUCCCACUGCCUAUUUUCCCACAAAAUUUGGGGCCCCAAAAUUGCUUUUAUGGGAUCAAUCAUACAAAGGUUGCAGAAAUAGGGAAAUGUGGCUUCCAGUCUCUCUUUAUUUUGUCCUAUGUGCUUUUUAGAAAACUAAACAUAUAUGGUGGGAUAUUGCAGGAUUCUAAACAACAAAUUUCCUCCUUUUGUCCUCUCUGAUGAAUACUCUACAUGGAGCAUACAUGCUGGAGGUUUGUGGUGGUAUAAUCCAUUAAGCCAUCUGUCAUCAUCAGACUUUUAAGACCUCAGAAGUGUUGAAAACAAGUUUUCAAUCCACGAAAGACACUCUCAGUCUGUUCUUACUCAAAUAUUGGUAAAUUACUCUUUCCCUUAAUCAUGGGUAGUGGUGCUUUCUAACAAGGUGGAAAUAGUUUCCGAAUUUUAUCAGUAUCUAGCAUGUCUCUGUUUUUAAUGAGAAGCUGGAAGUUUCUGAAUUUCUAAGUAUAUAAGAUAGAUUUUGAUUGUGCAA